rnacentral:lncRNA from 1 species
AUGCCUGAUAGUAAAAAGUCUGCUGAUUUAACUUCUAAAUCAAAUAAUGAGUCUGAAAAUGGAUUGACCGCUAAAGCCAAUGGUGAUGCACUCAAAAAUGCUGUCACAAAACUAAAGAGAAAAUUGAGCGAGGAUAUUGCUCCAAAUCCUAAGAAAGUGCACACUGAGGAUGUCAAAGAUAGUAAAAAAGUUCAGGACUCAAAAGAAGAGAUAGGUGAAGCAAUCGAAGAACCAGUCAUGAUUGUCAAAGGUGAAGGCUCUGGUGCUGAGUGUAAUGAUGGUAACAGUUUUCUGCUGUUUAAUGAUCUUUCCACUGAAAGAGUCAGUCUAGAAGCUCCAAGAGAAGAAUCUUUAACAGAUGAUUUCUCAGAACAUGACUGUUUUAUUGGUGAAGCUAUUGAGGAACCAGUUUUAAUAUUCUUUGGUGAAGGUGCAGGUGCAGAAUGUGAUAUGGGCAACUUACACCAAGAGGAGAGGAAGACAGAGGCUGAUAAAAAUUGUGAAAAAUUAGCAGAGGAGGACCAGUACAAAGAUAAAGCAAAGCCAUGCAAUGAGAAGAAUUCAAGUAUGAAAGAUAAUGCAGAUGAGUCUGGAUCAGGGUCAAAAAAACCAGUUAAAUUGUGGAGUAUUGAUACAAUUUGUAACUCUGAAACUUCAAAAAAGAAAGAUGCAGAACAAUCCAAAGCUGAAGACGUUGAGGACUUUGCUAUGAGUGGAUUCUUUUUUGGCCCAAGCAGUGCUCAAGUACCAAAGCUGGAUGAAAAAAGUCAGCCCUCCAACACAACGGACAAGUCAAGCAAAUCAGCUGAAACGGAUAAAAGUAAAAUCAAUUCUGAUUCUGCUGUCAAAAGUAGUACACCAAAAGAGUUUAAUGCUUCUAAAUCCUCUUCUUUCGGGAUUGAUAAACUUUUAAAACCAUCAGAAAUAAACGUUUCCUCGCAGUCUAAGGUAGAAACUUCUGGUGAUGAUUCAUCAUCGCAGAAACCUGAAAAAAAUGCAACUCCUACCUCUAACACAAAUGGCCAGCCACCGCCUACUAAAACCAGUGAAACUAAAAGCACAUCCCUGUCCUCGACCAGCAAUAAGAAAGAUAAUAUGAAUGAUGUCAUCAUUAAUAAUGAAUCCAGGAGUACUUCAGUUCCAUAUGUCUCUGAUUUAUCUAAACUAGCAAGUUUUGUUGAUCAGACUAAUAAAGGGCAUGAGUCAUCUCUUUCUACUUCAAAAAGCUCCAAGCCUAAACCGCUAUCUGAAGAUAAAUCUGUAAAUUCCCCUGCAGUAAAACAUACUCCUGAACAAAAAGAAGCGGCAAAGGUUCCAGAGCCCGCCAAUCCUGUCAAGUUACCCGCAUCUGUACAUAGCCAAGUCUCCUCCAAAUGUGACUCAAAACUGUUGGAUUCUAAAGCAAAGACAAGUAGCACAGAAAAACAACAAGCUGAAACACAAAUCAAUUGA